AGGGACCACCUGUAUCCAAUCAGGAAUUUGCACAGGUGCUGCAUGGCUGUCGUCAGCUCGUGCCGUGAGGUGUUAGGUUAAGUCCUGCAACGAGCGCAACCCUCGUCGCUAGUUAAUUUCUCUAGCGAUACUGCCCGUAAAACGUGGAGGAAGGUGGGGAUGACGUCAAGUCAGCAUGGCCUUUAUGUCUUGGGCUACACACACGCUACAAUGGAUGGUACAAAGGGUUGCCAAAGAGCGAUCUGGAGCUAAUCCCAAAAAACCAUCCUCAGUUCAGAUUGCAGGCUGCAAUGCCUGCAUGAAGUUGGAGUUGCUAGUAACCGCAGGUCAGCACACUGCGGUGAAUACGUUCUCGGGCCUU
rnacentral:rRNA from 1 species